rnacentral:lncRNA from 1 species
UGUUUUGUGACAUGAAAUCUAAGUUGAUUGUAGUUCCUUGUAUUUAUCUUUAUUUUUUCUCUACUUCUAAAGUCAGAGGAGGAGUCAGUGAAGGAAUUCAGAGAUGGAAAUGUGUCAACAACCAGCCGGGCGGUGGAUCCAGAAACAUCACGAGGUGCUGAAACUCAAGUGGGAAGCUCAACAGUCACAGCACAGACUGGAGGUGUCAUCAGCACUCCUCAUAUGACUGGUGUCAACAUUGGAGGAGACAUUAUCACCAAUAUCACCAUUAACAACACAGACCAACCUCCCAGCGGAACAGAUGAGACCACUGAUGUUUCUACUAAAACCAAAGGUAUUCAGCUGAUUAAACAUAUAAAUACAUAUAACAUAUUAAAGAAGGUUUUUCACAGCCAAAUGAUAAAAAAGUUCACCAUACUUUUACUAUUACAACAUGACUAGAUUCAGAUAUUAUGAACACACAGUAUAUUAUGGAGAUGACAUGCUUAAAGCUACAAAUGUGACUUUACCAUCCUGUAAAGUUAUUGGCCAUCAGCUUUUCUUCCCUGUCAUCUGCCC